rnacentral:rRNA from 1 species
CCUACGGGAGGCAGCAGUAGGGAAUAUUGCUCAAUGGGGGAAACCCUGAAGCAGCAACGCCGCGUGGAGGAUGAAGGUUUUCGGAUUGUAAACUCCUUUUGUUAGAGAAGAUAAUGACGGUAUCUAACGAAUAAGCACCGGCUAACUCCGUGCCAGCAGCCGCGGUAAUACGGAGGGUGCAAGCGUUACUCGGAAUCACUGGGCGUAAAGAGCGCGUAGGCGGGAUAGCAAGUCAGAUGUGAAAUCCUAUGGCUUAACCAUAGAACUGCAUUUGAAACUGUUAGUCUAGAGUAUGGGAUAGGUAGGUGGAAUUCUUGGUGUAGGGGUAAAAUCCGUAGAGAUCAAGAGGAAUACUCAUUGCGAAGGCGACCUGCUAGAACAUAACUGACGCUGAUGCGCGAAAGCGUGGGUAGCAAACAGGAGUAGAUACCCCUGUAGUC